rnacentral:rRNA from 1 species
AUUGAACGCUGGCGGCAGGCCUAACACAUGCAAGUCGAGCGGAUGAAGGGAGCUUGCUCCUGGAUUCAGCGGCGGACGGGUGAGUAAUGCCUAGGAAUCUGCCUGGUAGUGGGGGAUAACGUCCGGAAACGGGCGCUAAUACCGCAUACGUCCUGAGGGAGAAAGUGGGGGAUCUUCGGACCUCACGCUAUCAGAUGAGCCUAGGUCGGAUUAGCUAGUUGGUGGGGUAAAGGCCUACCAAGGCGACGAUCCGUAACUGGUCUGAGAGGAUGAUCAGUCACACUGGAACGGAGACGCGGUCCAGACUCCUACGGGAGGCAGCAGUGGGGAAUAUUGGACAAUGGGCGAAAGCCUGAUCCAGCCAUGCCGCGUGUGUGAAGAAGGUCUUCGGAUUGUAAAGCACUUUAAGUUGGGAGGAAGGGCAGUAAGUUAAUACCUUGCUGUUUUGACGUUACCAACAGAAUAAGCACCGGCUAACUUCGUG